UACGUAGGGUGCGAGCGUUGUCCGGAAUUAUUGGGCGUAAAGAGCUCGUAGGCGGUUUGUCGCGUCGGCCGUGAAAACUUGGGGCUUAACUCCAAGCUUGCGGUCGAUACGGGCAGACUUGAGUUCGGCAGGGGAGACUGGAAUUCCUGGUGUAGCGGUGAAAUGCGCAGAUAUCAGGAGGAGCACCGGUGGCGAAGGCGGGUCUCUGGGCCGAUACUGACGCUGAGGAGCGAAAGCGUGGGGAGCGAACAGG
rnacentral:rRNA from 1 species